CUCGCGGUCACAGAGAUGGAUAAGGACUCCUUUGACGCCUCUCUCUCCGCCAGGAACCCUAGCCAUCCCCUGAUCCCCUCACUCUAGUUUUCCUCCUCGUUUUCUUCUUCACCGAGCAGAGUCGUCGCCUCGCCUUCAUCAAUCCCGCGACCACCGGCCUCCCCUCGCUGCGCCAAGAUGUCCAGGAGAUUCGUCAUCCUCGACUACGUCAUGUCCGUACCAGGGAACCACGAGGACCACGCUACACCGACGGGAUCAAGCGUCUUCCUCAUCUACGGCCGUCACUGCCCCGCGCCCGAUCUGCCUCACCGGAGCUUCUCCGUCCCGCCGGACACGUCCUCUGCCUCCCCCUAUUACGAGACUGACGCCGCUGCUGGUGCCCCAGUCGACUACAUUGUUGACGACCCCUACUUGCCAGAGCAACCAGGCGUUGGAGUCCAGGAGCUAGACGCCACCGUCACCGACGACUCCUACUACACUGGAGGUGCCUACUACUACGUUCAGGCCGCUGACGACAACCAGGAAUAGUUUAGGAGGAUCCCAGGUAGGAGGUAUGUGCCUCUUUCGAUAUGUAUCCCAGUUUGUGCUAGCCAUCUUAUGGCACUUGUUUACUUAUGUCUGUACUCAAAUAUUGUUGCUUCCGCUGACUCGUCUAUGAUUGAGCUCUUGUAUUCGAGCCCUCAAGGCCCCUGGCUUGUAAUAUGAUGCUUGUAUGACUUAUUUUAUUUGUAGAGUUG
rnacentral:rRNA from 1 species